GUCUUCCCGGCUCCACACUCCCUCCCGCCUCCAAGCUGCCCAGCUCCAGUUUUCUGUGGCCCCAGUAACAGGGUUGUUGGCAAUAAAUGCUCGGCUUCAUUUAUUUAUUGGAAUUCUCAGAUCUGGACUGGUUUGCUCCAUUCAAGCUGCUGACAUGCUUUGUUAGUUGCAAAAAGGCUUCACUGGAUUAAGCAGUAGCUGGGCUGGCAUUGUCUGGGAAAGGCCUCAGCCACGUGAAGACGGGAAAAGCCAUCUGACCCCUGAGCCAAGCCACUGCUGCCUGACAGUCCCACACCAUGGCCCACAGGCCUGCAGAGUAGCUGGGUCCUGAGGAUAGAACAUGGCUGAAGACAGAACUGGUUGGACUUCAAAGUCGUCUGUAUCCUUCCAUCAUCUCCAGAGAGUGAUGCUGAAAUUAGAUCAAGCCUCUCGUAUGUCCGGCCAAACUCCUGCCUCCUCCAUGUCAGACACCCAGCACCGCCGUGAGGACAAACGCUGCUUGUCAGGCAGCUGUCACUUGGCCCAAACCACUCAAAGGUAACACCUAGUUAAUCACCUUCUCCCGUGUGUAUUCCUCAGGGGGCCAUCAUUCUCAGUUUCAACGUGUUGGUAUAAAUAAAAUCAGUCUGAUUCCCCU
ensembl:lncRNA